GAUGAACGCUGGCGGCGUGCCUAAUACAUGCAAGUCGUGCGGCAGCGAGCCCUUCGGGGUGUCGGCGAGCGGCGGACAGCUGAGUAACGCGUAGGAACGUACCCCAAAGUGAGGGAUAACUGCCCGAAAGGGUGGCUAAUACCGCAUGUGCUCUUCGGAGUAAAGCUAUAUGCGCUUUGGGAACGGCCUGCGUUCGAUUAGCUAGUUGGUGAGGUAAAUGCUCACCAAGGCGACGAUCGAUAGCUGGUCUGAGAGGAUGAUCAGCCAGACUGGAACUGAGACACGGUCCAGACUCCUACGGGAGGCAGCAGUGGGGAAUAUUGCACAAUGGGCGCAAGCCUGAUGCAGCGACGCCGCGUGAGGGAUGACGGCCUUCGGGUUGUAAACCUCUUUCAGCUAUGACGAAGCGCAAGUGACGGUAGUAGCAGAAGAAGGACCGGCCAACUACGCGCCAGCCGCCGCCGUAA
rnacentral:rRNA from 1 species